UUUAUGUAUGGGUUUUGUAUUGGUGGAAUUAUUUGAUGAAUGGGUAUAUACUUUGUGCUAUUGAUGACUACUUAAGGUUUAUGUAUGGUGGAAAAUUUAGGGGUUUUAAGUUAUAACAUGUGAUGGUUGGUAAAUUUAAUUUUUCCAUUGCCAUCGGGUUUAUUUAGAGUUAGUUGAAGUUCUAAAUUUCUUAUCUUAGAGGAUAUAUUGAUUUUGCUUUCAUGGGUCUCUUAAUGAUGUAGUGUAAAUUUUAUGGAAGCUAGUCAUAAUGUUGGAGAUGAUAUUAAAUGGGUUAAAUUUGUAAAUUGGAGUUUAUGCCUUGUGAAUCUAAUUGUUGAGAAACUUUGGAAGUAGAAUAUAUUAUUAUUGAUGAGGUUAAAUACUAGGCUUGCCUAAUUAAGUGAUUAUUUGGCAAUUCCUAAAUUGUGGCUAGAUGCAAUUUCAAGCUCUAUGCUUAUUGUGAUAGGUUUACUUGAUAUUGUUUAGGUUCUAGCUAAUCUCCUUGGAGCUUGGAGAAUUAGGAUUUUGCGGUUGCGAGAGCAAGCAACAAUCUUUUUAGACAGCUUUUUGGGUGGCUAAUAGUAGUUAGACUAACUACUAAUGGAGGCCGAACUUUUUGAAUGGAUAUAUUAGAUGGUGUACAUCUUAGACUAGGCUUGACUCAUUCUUUUGUGUAUUAUAGUGGUUAUGACUGUAUUCCCACUGAUGGGACAAGCUGUUGAUAUGUAAUUGUUUAUUCAGGCCUCUAUUCUUUUGUGGCCAAUGGUCCUUGCAAUUAAUGCUUAAAGCUCUGACUUACUCUGUGAGUAUAUUCUAUGGGAUUAUUAUGAUAAUUCUUGAUGUU